rnacentral:lncRNA from 1 species
GUCAGUGACCACGGGUUCCUUUGGUUUAAACUCAAGUCCUUUUCCCUACGUGAUGAUAAUCCUCAUUGAAUACUUGCUGCUGGCUUGUAUAGCAUUACCGCAUACCUUGGUGAAGUAGAUACCCAGCCAUCAGGGCUUCAUGUUAAUUUAUUUUGCAAUGAUAUAGGAAACAAAGGGCACCAUUCAUAAAAGAACUUCAAGGGACUUGAAGGCAGAAUUCCCUUUGGCCCUUCAGCAAUCUUGCUUCUUACAAACCCCUGUGUGGUUCAGGACCUGCUUGGAGUUGUGUGUGGCUUUGUCAUCAGGCAGUCACUGUGCUCCUGUUAUGUUUAACAUUGUGAUGUGAAAAUAUGAGUUUGGAACUAAUUAGAAGAAGGUUAGGUAGCCUGUGUUGUCCCUUGAGACACUAGUUAUGGUUAUAGAGUUGGGGUUGGAGCCUUUGUAUGAUAUUGAAACACUAGAUAAAAGCUCAUUUCCUUGAGUCCCAGAUUCUUGCAUUUCCCCACUACCAUGUAAGUCUCCGAGUUUUUUAAUUCUCUUAGGAUCUUUUCUGAGUGUUAAAAUGACUGAUGUUUCGUCCCGGGUCUGCCAGCUGUACCUCUCAUGUUCAUUGAAAAAAUACUUGGGAGUGUCUGUUCCAAACGAUUGCCUGGUUAAGCACUGUGGAUGCAAAACUAAGUCACUGUCCCUGUUCUCAAGCAGUUUGGAGCUUGGUAGCAGAGAGCAUUGCUAAGGAAAAGAAGAUGGUGGAGUGGUGUGGUGGAUAUGAAUGCCACAGAAAACUUUGCCAGAAAAAGGGACCUGGAGCUGAAAUCAGAGAUGAUUUAAGUGGAGAAGGCAGGAAGAGGGAAGUAUAUGCACAAACUCUGUCUGGAGAGUGAUUGUGAAGGGGAGGGGUUGAAGGAAGACCCGUGCCACUAGGGUGGAGAGGAGCUUUGAGAGUGAGUCCGAGGGCAGGCUUUAGGUAGAGUAGCCAUAUAAUUUGAUGGAUAAAUUUAUCAACCAAAUUGUGACUUUUUGCAGUAAAAACAGAUGCUGUUAAUUAAGCGCAGACUAUAAAACAUCAGCCAGAACAUAUACAUAUGGUCACUUCCUUUUUUAGGUUAAUUUUUAAAAAUUUUUUAGAUAUAUAUGACAGUAGAGUGUAUUUUGACAUAUUACACAUACAUGGUGUAUAACUUAUUGUAAUUAGGAUGCACUUUACUUUCAAAGGCCAUGUAUGUUAACAGUAUUAUCUGGUUUUUUUUGUUUGUUUUGGGGGGAUUGAACCUACGAUGCUUUACCACUGAGCUACAUUCCCAGUCCUUUUUAUUUAUGUAUUUAUUUUUGAGGCACAAUUUUGCUAAAUUGCUGAGGCGGGUCUCAAACUUGGUGAUCCUUCUGCCUCAGCCUCUCAAGUCACAAGUAACUGUUUAGUAUUACCUCUUUUUGUUUCUUGGGGUUUUUUUGUUUUGUUUUGGUACCAGGGAUGGAUGUUUAGCAAUGGAGCCAUAUUCCCACCCCUUUUUAUUUUUUAUUUUGAGACAGGGUCUUGCUUAAUUGCUGAGUCUAGCCUCAAAUUUGCAAUCCUCCUGCCUCAGCCUCCCAAGUUGCUGGGAUUAUAGGUGUGCACCACAGUGCAGCAUUACUUGUUUUCAAAGGCUUUACAACCAGCAGUGUAUGUUACUUCCUAGUUAAUAUAUUGAGGAAUUAGAAUACUUUACCUUGUCCAAAUGAACACAAU